UACAUAACACCUACCCCAAACCAGAACUUAUGUGAAGAAGUCCGGGUUCGGGUCUGGGUACCAAACAUGCCGAUUUUUCUCACGCGCGUGCAAAACACAUUAAAACGUUUUGUACUCGCGGGGAAAAAACGUGCAUCUGUUCCCGCAUGUCACCCGCAGUGCCCCUUCCAAGAGGCCUUAUG